GUUGGUUUGUAUUUGAAUGUUCUUCGACUAAAUAUGUGAGCAAGCUUGUGGACUUGUAUAAGGGAAGUUCGGAGGAAUGGUCGCAGAAGGCGAUAGAGCUUGAGGGAAUCAUCAAGGCUUUAGAACUACCAAGGGAAUAUGUAUGAGGUGGCAACGAGGAGGAAUGAUACAGCUGUGUUGGUGGCUGGGACUUUGGAAACAACGAAACAGAUGAUGAUUAAAGAAAGUAAAAAAGUCUUUGCAAAGUGAUAAUGGUGGUAAAAAGUUUUCUUGGCUUCCACUUUUCAUUUUAUUCAUUAGACAUAUUUCCUUUUAUGUGCAUGUAUUGUUAUCUUGAAAUCUUGAUAUCUUGAUAUUCAUCAUUUGUACCAUAGUGCCAAGGUACUUUUCUUUAGAUCUA